rnacentral:rRNA from 1 species
UCCUGGCUCAGGAUGAACGCUAGCUACAGGCUUAACACAUGCAAGUCGAGGGGCAGCAUGGUUGUUGCUUGCAACAACUGAUGGCGACCGGCGCACGGGUGAGUAACGCGUAUCCAACCUGGCCCAUAGUAGGGGAUAGCCCGGCGAAAGUCGGAUUAAUACCCUAUGUUUUCCCAUGAGAGCAUUUGAACGGGAACAAAGAUUUAUCGCUAUGGGAUGGGGAUGCGUCCGAUUAGCUUGCCGGCGGGGUAACGGCCCACCGGGGCAUCGAUCGGUAGGGGUUCUGAGAGGAAGGUCCCCCACAUUGGAACUGAGACACGGUCCAAACUCCUACGGGAGGCAGCAGUGAGGAAUAUUGGUCAAUGGGGCGUGAGCCUGAACCAGCCAAGUAGCCGUGCAGGAAGACGGCCCUAUGGGUUGUAAACUGCUUUUGGAGGGGAAUAAAGUCGCCUACUAGUAGGCGUUUGCAUGUACCCUCAGAAUAAGGACCGGCUAAUUCCGUGCCAGCAGCCGC